rnacentral:rRNA from 1 species
GAUGGCAUCAUGAGUCCGCAUGUUCACAUGAUUAAAGGUAUUCCGGUAGACGAUGGGGAUGCGUUCCAUUAGAUAGUAGGCGGGGUAACGGCCCACCUAGUCUUCGAUGGAUAGGGGUUCUGAGAGGAAGGCCCCCCACACUGGGACUGAGACACGGCCCAGACUCCUACGGGAGGCAGCAGUGAGGAAUAUUGGUCAAUGGGCGGAAGCCUGAACCAGCCAUGCCGCGUGAAGGACUAAGGCCCUACGGGUCGUAAACUUCUUUAGACGCAGAGCAAUAAGGUCCACGUGUGGACCGAUGAGAGUAUGCGUAGAAUAAGCAUCGGCUAACUCCGUG